rnacentral:rRNA from 1 species
GUGAGGAAUAUUGGUCAAUGGGCGAGAGCCUGAACCAGCCAAGUCGCGUGAGGGAAGACGGUCCUACGGAUUGUAAACCUCUUUUGUCGGGGAACAAAAGGCGCCACGCGUGGUGUAUAGAGUGUACCCGAAGAAAAAGCAUCGGCUAACUCCGUGCCAGCAGCCGCGGUAAUACGGAGGAUGCGAGCGUUAUCCGGAUUUAUUGGGUUUAAAGGGUGCGCAGGCGGCGGAUCAAGUCAGCGGUCAAACUUCGGGGCUCAACCCCGUUUUGCCGUUGAAACUGAUCGGCUGGAGUCUGUUCGAGGGACGCGGAAUGCGAGGUGUAGCGGUGAAAUGCAUAGAUAUCACGCAGAACUCCGAUUGCGAAGGCAGCGUCCCGGGGCGGCACUGACGCUGAGGCACGAAAGUGUGGGUAUCGAACAGGAUUAGAAACCCUAGUAGUCC